GGUGAUGCUGGUCCCAAAGGUGCUGAUGGCUCUCCUGGCAAAGAUGGCGUCCGUGGUCUGACCGGCCCCAUUGGUCCUCCUGGCCCUGCUGGUGCCCCUGGUGACAAGGGUGAAAGUGGUCCCAGCGGCCCUGCUGGUCCCACUGGAGCUCGUGGUGCCCCCGUAAGUACAGAAGACCUGUUAAGACCCCAUACUUGGCCCUUCCCUCCCUUCACACAGCACCCCUGGCCCUGUCUGUGCCUUCACCCCUUGCCUCUCCCCUCACCGCAUCCCCGCCUUCCCUCCUGUCAGCACAUCUCUCCAAUCUGACUCCUUUUCUUCUAGGGAGACCGUGGUGAGCCUGGUCCCCCCGGCCCUGCUGGCUUCGCUGGCCCCCCUGUGAGUACCAAGACCCCC
rnacentral:sRNA from 1 species